GGCAGAGGGAUCCUCCUCCUGUCACUGCAGGGUGCAGCUCUGAGAUACAGAAGACAAUUUUGUCCUUUCAUUGUGUCCUCCUUCUCCUCAUUCUGGGAAUCAGUCUGUUUCAAGUGACAAAGGAAGACAGCAAGGAGGCGAACCCAAUUUGUUAGUACAGACGAAAACAAUCUUUUCAAGCUGCAGUAGCUGUAACCUGGUGAUGAUUUGUUACGUUUGCUGUUUUAAAGAGCACCAUACUCCAGAUGGCAGCAGCUAAAUUGCAAGGGAGCACACUGUACACACCAUCAAGCCAAGAUCCUGUACUAAACAGCUGCUACUAGCUAUUGCUACCAGAUGUUCUAGAAUUAUGUGCAACAUUAUGCUCAAUUUUAACUUUUACAAAAUUACAAGCUAAUAAAAGA